GACGAACGCUGGCGGCGUGCUUAACACAUGCAAGUCGAACGGAGCGGCGAACGGGGGAGUAAGAAGUGGGUGACCUGCUCUGCACUGCGGGAGAAGCACGGGUAAAUGGGGCUAAUACUGGAGAGCGUGGGAUGGGCCGGCGGCCUAUGGGCUUGGUGGUGGGGUAAUGGCCUACCGAGGCGGCGACUGGUAGCCGGCCUGUGAGGGUGGACGGCCACAUUGGGCCUGAGACACGGCCCAGUCUCCUACGGUAGGCAGCAGUGGUGAAUAUUGCACAAUCGGCGGAAGCCUGUUGAAGCGCCGCCGCGUGUGGGAUGACGGCCUUCGGGUUAUGAACUCCUUUCACCUUCGACCCGUUAGAUGGAGAAGAAGCACCGGCUAACUCCGUGCCAGCAGCCGCGGUAAUUC
rnacentral:rRNA from 1 species